AUUAGGAAGAGAAAUCCAGUAAGAGGAGCCAAUCCCAGACAUUUAAAUGGUAAAGUAACUUCCUGGUGAUGAGCACUGAGUCUUCAAACAGCCAGAUGUUCCCCUGACUGUGAGGGAGCAGCAGCAAUGUGACAGCAGAGAAAACUGCAAGAAAGGUACAAAAGAGCGGAGGGGCCCAGGGAUGGCCCCGGGGCUGUCGGUUCGGUGGCAGACGAGUCUCCGACCGCGGUGCUGAGGCCAUUGUCCC